rnacentral:misc_RNA from 1 species
GAUGAAGAACGUAGCGAAAUGCGAUAAGUAGUGUGAAUUGCAGAAUUCAGUGAAUCAUCCAAUCUUUGAACGCACAUUGCGCCCCUUGGUAUUCCAUGGGGCAUGCCUGUUCGAGCGUCAUUUGUACCUUCAAGCUUUGCUUGGUGUUGGGUGUUUGUCCUGAGGGACUCGCCUUAAAGUAAUUGGCAGCCAGUGUUUGGUUUUGAAGCGCAGCACAAGUCGCGAUUCAAGGCUAUACACCAGCUUCCACAAGCCUUUUUCACUUUUGACCUCGGAUCAGGUAGGGAUACCCGCUGAACUUAAGCAUAUCAAUAAGCGGAGGA